rnacentral:rRNA from 1 species
CCUACGGGAGGCAGCAGUGGGGAAUAUUGCACAGUGGGCACAAGCCUGAUGCAGCCAUGCCGCGUGUGUGAAGAAGGCCUUCGGGUUGUAAAGCACUUUCAGCGGGGAGGAAGGCGGUGAGGUUAAUAACCUCACCGAUUGACGUUACCCGCAGAAGAAGCACCGGCUAACUCCGUGCCAGCAGCCGCGGUAAUACGGAGGGUGCAAGCGUUAAUCGGAAUUACUGGGCGUAAAGCGCACGCAGGCGGUCUGUCAAGUCGGAUGUGAAAUCCCCGGGCUCAACCUGGGAACUGCAUUCGAAACUGGCAGGCUAGAGUCUUGUAGAGGGGGGUAGAAUUCCAGGUGUAGCGGUGAAAUGCGUAGAGAUCUGGAGGAAUACCGGUGGCGAAGGCGGCCCCCUGGACAAUGACUGACGCUCAGGUGCAAAAGCGUGGGGAGCAAACAGGAUUAGAUACCCGUGUAGUC